rnacentral:rRNA from 1 species
GGACAGGUGGUGCAUGGUUGUCGUCAGCUCGUGUCGUGAGAUGUUGGGUUAAGUCCCGCAACGAGCGCAACCCUCGACCUUAGUUGCCAGCAUUCAGUUGGGCACUCUAAGGUGACUGCCGGCUAAAAGUCGGAGGAAGGUGGGGAUGACGUCAAAUCAUCAUGCCCCUUAUGACCUGGGCUACACACGUGCUACAAUGGGCGGUACAAAGGGUCGCGAACCCGCGAGGGGGAGCCAAUCCCAAAAAGCCGCUCUCAGUUCGGAUUGCAGGCUGCAACUCGCCUGCAUGAAGCCGGAAUCGCUAGUAAUCGCGGAUCAGCAUGCCGCGGUGAAUACGUUCCCGGGCCUU